UUUUUAAUUUUAAAUUUCAAAUUCAAAAUUUUAAAUUUUAAAUUUUCAAAUUUAAAAUUUUAUUUUACUUUUUGUCACGCCCCGGAUUAUCACGUUUCCCCGGGCACACAUAGAAAUAUUUCAUGUAUACGAAGCAAUAGCUGUAAUAUACCGAAACUUCGGUAAAGAAUAUCGAACUUUAGUCAAAUUGACCAAAGUGCGAAGUCGAUAGCUUCGGAACGUUUCGGAAAGUCUGAAAUGCAUAAAAGUGAGUUAUAUAGGGUAUAAGGACCUUUGAGAG
rnacentral:lncRNA from 1 species